CAUGGUUGGUUUGGUGCUUGUUGAUUAACUAAUGAUUUGGUGAAUUAUUGAUUUGAGGUAUUUUGUGUUAGAAUCCUAGGAUUAGUGAACUAUGAUCCUUAGUUGAAUUUUGGUUGUUGGAUUUGAAUAUUGUAUGAGUAUAAUUGUUGAUCUAAGGUAGAUUUAUUAUGGUGACUGUUAUGAUGAUGAGGAAGGGUAUGUUGAAUU